ACCGGGAUAACCUUGGGAAACUGAGGAUAAUACUGGAUAGGCAAUUAUUCCUGCAAUGGGUUUUUGUUUAAAUGUUUUUUCGCCUAAGGAUGGGUCUGCGGCCGAUUAGGUAGUUGGUUAGGUAAUGGCUUACCAAGCCGUUGAUCGGUACGGGUUGUGAGAGCAAGAGCCGGAGAUGGAACCUGAGACAAGGUUCCAGGCCCUACGGGGUGCAGCAGGCGCGAAACCUCCGCAAUGUGAGAAAUCGCGACGGGGGGAUCCCAAGUGCCAUUCUUAACGGGAUGGCUUUUCAUUAGUGUAAAGAGCUUUUGGAAUAAGGGCUGGGCAAGACCGGUGCCAGCCGCCGCGGUAACACCGGCAGCUCUAGUGGUAGCAGUUUUUAUUGGGCCUAAAGCGUCCGUAGCCGGUUUAAUAAGUCUCUGGUGAAAUCCUGUAGCUUAACUGUGGGAAUUGCUGGAGAUACUAUUAGACUUGAGACCGGGAGAGGUUAGAGGUACUCCCAGGGUAGAGGUGAAAUUCUGUAAUCCUGGGAGGACCGCCUGUUGCGAAGGCGUCUAACUGGAACGGUUCUGACGGUGAGGGACGAAAGUUAGGGGCGCGAACCGGAUUAGAUACCCGGGUAGUCCUAACCGUAAACGAUGCGGACUUGGUGUUGGGGUGGCUUUGAGCUGCUCCAGUGCCGAAGGGAAGCUGUUAAGUCCGCCGCCUGGGAAGUACGGUCGCAAGACUGAAACUUAA
rnacentral:rRNA from 1 species